rnacentral:misc_RNA from 1 species
GAUGAAGAACGUAGCGAAAUGCGAUAAGUAGUGUGAAUUGCAGAAUUCAGUGAAUCAUCGAAUCUUUGAACGCACAUUGCGCCCUUCGGUAUUCCGUUGGGCAUGUCUGUUCGAGCGUCAUUUAAACCUUCAAGCUAUGCUUGGUGUUGGGUGUUUGUUCCGCCUCUGCGCGUGGACUCGCCUCAAAUUCAUUGGCAGCCGGUAUGUUGGCUUCGUGCGCAGCACAUUGCAAGCGAUUUCAACAGACCUACUUCCAUAAGCCCUUUUUUUACUUUGACCUCGGAUCAGGUAGGGAUACCCGCUGAACUUAAGCAUAUCAAUAAGCGGAGGA